CUCGUCGAAUACAGACGCUUGGUCGCUCUCAGCGUCAGAUACCAACCCAAAAAUCCCCAUUAGCGUCUGUUUGGAACGUACGGGGCAGAGCAGCAGCUCAACGGCGGCGCUGUAAGAUGACAUAGUGUUAAGAGAGACAACAGUAGACAGUAGUAUGUAGAGAGACAGA